GAUAAACGCUGGCGGCGUGCCUAACACAUGCAAGUCGAACGCGCUACGCAAGUAGCGAGUGGCGGACGGGUGAGUACCACGUGGGUACCUACUCUGAGGUGAGGAAUACCACCGAGAAAUCGGUGACAAGACCGCAUACCUUUCGCAAGAAAGAAAGUCGCUUCGGUGACGCCACAGAAUGGGCCUGCGCCUGAUUAGCUAGUUGGUGGGGUAAAAGCCUACCAAGGCGACGAUCAGUAGCUGGUCUGAGAGGAUGAUCAGCCACACUGGGAUUGAG
rnacentral:rRNA from 1 species